rnacentral:rRNA from 1 species
UAAACAGGUGGUGCAUGGUUGUCGUCAGCUCGUGUCGUGAGAUGUUGGGUUAAGUCCCGCAACGAGCGCAACCCUCGUUCUAUGUUGCCAGCACGUAAUGGUGGGAACUCAUGGGAUACUGCCGGGGUCAACUCGGAGGAAGGUGGGGAUGACGUCAAAUCAUCAUGCCCCUUAUGUCUUGGGCUUCACGCAUGCUACAAUGGCCGGUACAAAGGGCUGCAAUACCGCGAGGUGGAGCGAAUCCCAAAAAGCCGGUCCCAGUUCGGAUUGAGGUCUGCAACUCGACCUCAUGAAGUCGGAGUCGCUAGUAAUCGCAAAUCACCAACGCUGCGGUGAAUACUUUCCCGGGUCUUGUACACACCG